AUUGAACGCUGGCGGCAGGCCUAACACAUGCAAGUCGAGCGGAUGAGAGGAGCUUGCUCCUUGAUUUAGCGGCGGACGGGUGAGUAAUGCCUAGGAAUCUGCCUGGUAGUGGGGGAUAACGUCCGGAAAAGGGCGCUAAUACCGCGUACGUCCUACGGGAGAAAGCAGGGGACCUUCGGGCCUUGCGCUAUCAGAUGAGCCUAGGUCGGAUUAGCUAGUUGGUGAGGUAAUGGCUCACCAAGGCGACGAUCCGUAACUGGUCUGAGAGGAUGAUCAGUCACACUGGAACUGAGACACGGUCCAGACUCCUACGGGAGGCAGCAGUGGGGAAUAUUGGACAAUGGGCGAAAGCCUGAUCCAGCCAUGCCGCGUGUGUGGAGAAGGUCUUCGGAUUGUAAAGCACUUUAAGUUGGGAGGAAGGGCAGUAAGUUAAUACCUUGCUGUUUUGACGUUACCGACAGGAUAAGCACCGGCUAACUUCGUGCCAGCAGCCGCCGUAA
rnacentral:rRNA from 1 species